rnacentral:rRNA from 1 species
AACGUAGGAGGCGAGCGUUAUCCGAAUUUACUGGGCGUAAAGCGCACGUAGGCGGAUUGUUAAGUGAGGGGUGAAAUCCCAGGGCUCAACCCUGGAACUGCCUUUCAUACUGGCAAUCUCGAGUCCGGAAGAGGUGAGUGGAACUCCUAGUGUAGAGGUGGAAUUCGUAGAUAUUAGGAAGAACACCAGUGGCGAAGGCGGCUCACUGGUCCGGUACUGACGCUGAGGUGCGAAAGCGUGGGGAGCAAACAGG